rnacentral:rRNA from 1 species
GAUGAACGCUGGCGGCGUGCCUAAUACAUGCAAGUCGAACGAACAGACGAGGAGCUUGCUCCUCUGACGUUAGCGGCGCACGGGUGUGUAACAUGUGCAUAACCUCCAUAAAAGACUGGGAUAACUUCGGGAAACCGGAGCUAUUACCGGUUAAUAUAUUGAACCCAAUGUUUCAUUAUUGAAAGAUGGUUUUGCUGUUACUUAUAGAUGUGUCCACGCCGCUUUUUCUAGUUGGUAGGGUCACGGCUUACCAAGGCAACGAUACGUACCCAACCCGUGAGGGGGAGCGGCCACGCCGGAUCGGAACCACGGCCCAGACUCCAACGGGAGGCAGGAGUAGGGAAGCGACCGCAAUGGGCGGAAGCUUAACGGAGCAGCGCCGCGUGAGUGAUGAGGGGCCGCGGAUCGUAAAGCUCUGUUAUGUUGUAAGAACAAAAGUGUAAGUAAAUAAGCUCGUAUUGACGGUACCUAAUCAGAAAGCCACGGCUAACUACGUG